GCCUCGGUGGCGGAAAUGGUAGACGCGCCGGACUUAAAAUCCUGUGGCCUUAUUUAUGGCCGUGCGGGUUCAAGUCCCGCCCGAGGUACCA
rnacentral:tRNA from 1 species